rnacentral:rRNA from 1 species
CUUUGGUUCUAGUUUGUUGGUUUGAGGACCAAAGUAAUGAUUAAAAGGGAUAGUUGGGGGGAUUGGUAUUCAGAGGCUAGAGGUGAAAUUCUUGGAUUCUCUGAGGACCUACUACUGCGAAAGCAUUUCCCAAGGAUGUUUUCAUUGAUCAAGAACGAAAGUUAGGGGAUCGAAGACGAUUAGAUACCGUCGUAGUCUUAACCAUAAACUAUGCCGACUAGAGAUUGGUGGUGACAUUUUGUCGCAUCAGCAUCUUACGAGAAAUCAAAGUUUUUGGGUUCCGGGGGGAGUAUGGUCGCAAGGCUGAAACUUAAAGGAAUUGACGGAAGGGCACCACCAGGAGUGGAGCCUGCGGCUUAAUUUGACUCAACACGGGAAACUCACCAGGUC